rnacentral:rRNA from 1 species
UACGAAGGGGGCUAGCGUUGCUCGGAAUCACUGGGCGUAAAGGGUGCGUAGGCGGGUCUUUAAGUCAGGGGUGAAAUCCUGGAGCUCAACUCCAGAACUGCCUUUGAUACUGGCGAUCUUGAGUUCGAGAGAGGUGAGUGGAACUGCGAGUGUAGAGGUGAAAUUCGUAGAUAUUCGCAAGAACACCAGUGGCGAAGGCGGCUCACUGGCUCGAUACUGACGCUGAGGUGCGAAAGCGUGGGGAGCAAACAGG